rnacentral:rRNA from 1 species
GUGAGGAAUAUUGGUCAAUGGGCGAGAGCCUGAACCAGCCAAGUCGCGUGAAGGAAGAAGGAUCUAUGGUUCGUAAACUUCUUUUGCAGGGGAAUAAAGUGCGGGACGUGUCCUGUUUUGUAUGUACCCUGAGAAUAAGGAUCGGCUAACUCCGUGCCAGCAGCCGCGGUAAUACGGAGGAUCCGAGCGUUAUCCGGAUUUAUUGGGUUUAAAGGGUGCGUAGGUGGGUUGAUGAGUCAGCGGUGAAAGUUUGCAGCUUAACUGUAAAAAUGCCGUUGAAACUGUCGGACUUGAGUGUAAAUGAGGUAGGCGGAAUGCGUGGUGUAGCGGUGAAAUGCAUAGAUAUCACGCAGAACUCCGAUUGCGAAGGCAGCUUACUAAGCUACAACUGACACUGAAGCACGAAAGCGUGGGGAUCAAACAGGAUUAGAAACCCGAGUAGUCC